CAGUUACCUUGUCUUAUUAGUAUAAUAACUCUGAGUUUGGCUCUUGUUUUUCAAACCCAUGUACACAUAACUUUAAAUAGUUUUUCCUUACAAAUUUCUUUUAUAUAAUCCCAUCGUUAACAUUAUAGGUCUCUGUAACCUAAUUGUAAUUAUGUAACUUCAUUUUUAAAGGUAUAUGGUUUAGAAAUUUAGAAACUUAUUAUGUAAGCCUUCCACAGGAGAACUACAGUUUUGUGCUUAUUUCCUUAUACUUUGUAAAGUGAGAUCAUUUUACCAAACAUGAAAAGUUUUCAUUUUCUCUUUAACAUCUAGAUUACAUCAGCCUAUACACUUUUUAUCCUAUACUCAAUAUCAGUUACAGCCCAUAAUAAUGAUUCUUUGUUCCUCAGAAUCUUUUGUUUUGUUUUUCUUUUUAGGGCUGCAUCUGUGGCAUCUUGGGAACCUCCAUAUGCCUUGGGUGUGGCCCUAAAAAGAUCACAGGCCACAGACUAUUCACUCUAUAUAUAAAAUUCAGAUCUGUGAUUCUGAUAAAUAUAAUAUUAUUUUAAAGCUUCCAGGUACUUAAUACAGUGCAUUUGUACAAUAUGAACUCAUAUACAUUUGUAAUGAAUGUAUCUCAAGGAAUACCAGAUGCAAGGUGGAUUACGAAAAUCCUGUUUUGAAUUUUUGUCUUUUAUCAGGUGCAUUGUCUCAUUGUUUAGCAGUAUUCUCUGAAUAAAUACCUUGGUUCUCAUUUAAUGAAAACUAAAAAGGUAGAAAUUAGUAGAAGCCCACAGCAUUCAAACUCAAAACUAGAAUUUAGCAAUAUCCACAUCAUAAAAUCUUCAGAAGUAAAUCUAAAUGAAAUUAGUACAAAAUGCGUUUUUCAAAUACUCUCCAAUCCCUACCCCAUCCCCACCCCUGUUUUAAUGUUGCAUGUUUAUCCUUUCCUUGUUAAUUGCUUUCUGUUAGUAGGCAAAAAAGAGAAAUAAUGCUUCAUUUGAUUAACAUAUUUUUGUUUUUCACAAAUAAGGCACUUCUAUUAAGCACUACAGAUAGUAUGAACUAUAUGGCUUAGCUUAAGACUUGUUUGGUCUCUGCCUAAUUUGAAUAUACAAUUUAGAAGGGGAAAGUUACAGCUAUGUAAGGCUAUGAAAUAUAAAGUUAUGAAAUGGCAAGUACAUAACAGGAAAAAAAAAGCCUUUUCUACUAGAGGCAAACUUUUCAGUUAUUUUGUAUUUAAAUUUUGUCGAAUACUUAGAUUUUUUUGCUUAUUAAAACCCAUUUUAUUUUAAAAUUUGGGGAGGGUAUAGUUGAUAUACAAUGUUGUAUUAGCUUCAGGCUUACUGCAAAAUAAAGCAGUUACAUAUAUACAUAGAUCCAUUAUUUUUUCCCAUAUAGAUUAUUUCAGAACAUUUAGUGAGACUUCCCUGUGCUAUAUAGCAGACCUUCUUAGUCGUCUAUUCUGUAUAAAAUGAUGUGUAUGUGCCAGUCCUGUCCUCCCAGUUUAUCCCUCCCCACCAUGAUUUUCCCUUUUGGUAACCCCAAGUUUGAUUUCAAAAUCUCUGGGUUUGGAGUUCCCGUCGUGGCUCAGCAGUUAACGAAUCUGACUAGCAUCCAUGAGAACACAGGUUCAAUCCCUGGCCUUGCUUAUUGGGUUAAGGAUCUGGUGUUGCUGUGAGCUGUGGUGUAGGUCCCAGACGUGGCUCGGAUCCUGUGGUGCUGUGGCUGUGGCGUAGGCCAGCAGCUUCAGCUCCAAUUCAACUGCUAGCCCAGACACCUCCAAUGUGCCACAGGUUUGACCCUG
ensembl:lncRNA